CAAAAGAAAAACAGAAAACAAAAACGUUUCCUGUCUGAUACGAUGAAAAAUUUGCACAGGAAGUUUCUGGCAGAAGAUAAAAGCUCCAUUUCCUACUCCCUCUUUUGUUUGCUCCGACCUUUUUGGGUUUCUCAUCCAACUCUGAGUGAUCGGGACACAUGCAUGUGCAAGAUGCAUGAGAAUCUGGGCUUUCUUGUGCAGAAGCUGCACCAGUUGAAAGUGAUCAACACAGUCAACCUGGAUGAUCUUGUGAAAGCCAUCACAUGUGACACACACAGUAUUGAGUGCAUGUAUGGACAGUGCGCUGAGUGCAAAGAUCUUUCCUGCCCAGUGUCCAGCCAGUAUAAUCCACAGAGUCAAGUGUCUUAUCUCCAGUGGGCAAUUGUGGAUAAGGAGCACAAGAAUGACCCCAAUGGCAAAACAUCUAAAAUCACAAUCAAAAAAGAGCUACUUGGCACACAAGAAGAACUACUGGAACAGAUGAAUCUUCUUCUGCAUAGAUUUAAACGACACAUGUUCAACAUCAACAACCAGUUUUCCCAUUACAGGGCACUGAGGCAUGGCUUGAAAGCACAUGAAUGCUUAAUUCAUGUUGAUUUUUCUGAGAAUUACCUCUGCAAGUACAGCACAGAAAUUCAAGCAGUGCACUUUGGAGCAUCCCACCAGCAGGCAACACUGCACACAGGUGUGCUUUAUAUGCAUGCAAUGCCUCAGCCAAUGUCCUUCUGUACAGUGUCACCUUCAAGACAAAAAGGCCCACCAGCUAUCUGGCAGUAUUUGUCACCAGUGCUUGAUUACCUACAAAGUGCACAUCCAGAGGUCUCUACUAUCCACUUUUACAGUGAUGGCCCUUGUACUCAGUACAAACAGCGUGGAAAUUUUUUCCUGUUUUGCACUGAGCUGUUCAGAAGAGGAUUCGCUGCUGGCACAUGGAACUUCUUUGAAGCAAGCCAUGGGAAGGGUGCCCCAGAUGGUGUGGGAGGGGCACUGAAGAGAAGGGCUGACAGUCUGGUCAGCAAAGGGACAGAUAUUCCUGAUGCUGCAGAGCUGUUUUCUGCGUUGCAAAAGACAGACACAACAAUAAAGUUGUUUUUUGUCAAAGAGGAAGCUGUUGAAAAAGCAGUUUCAAUGAUGCCCAACAACGUGCCACCAAUUCCAUCAACCAUGAGAAUGCAUCAGGCAGUAACCCUAACUCAUGGCAAACUAAUGUACAGGGAUGUCAGCUGUUUGUGCUCAGAAACACAAAAUCUUAAGUGUGAAUGUUUCAACACAAAGCAUUUCGUGUUCAAUCAGCAGGCAGCUCCUGGAACUCUCACAGACAC
ensembl:lncRNA